rnacentral:rRNA from 1 species
UACGAAGGGAGCUAGCGUUGUUCGGAAUUACUGGGCGUAAAGGGCGCGUAGGCGGGUUUCCAAGUCGGGGGUGAAAUUCCAGGGCUCAACCCUGGGACGGCCUUCGAUACUGGGAGCCUGGAGAUCGGGAGAGGUGAGUGGAAUUCCGAGUGUAGAGGUGAAAUUCGUAGAUAUUCGGAGGAACACCAGAAGCGAAGGCGGCUCACUGGCCCGAGACUGACGCUGAGGAGCGAAAGCAUGGGGAGCGAACAGG